UGGGGAAUAUUGGACAAUGGGCGGAAGCCUGAUCCAGCCAUGCCGCGUGUGUGAAGAAGGCCUUUUGGUUGUAAAGCACUUUAAGCGAGGAGGAGGCUACUUGGAUUAAUACUCUAGGAUAGUGGACGUUACUCGCAGAAUAAGCACCGGCUAACUCUGUGCCAGCAGCCGCGGUAAUACAGAGGGUGCGAGCGUUAAUCGGAUUUACUGGGCGUAAAGCGUGCGUAGGCGGCUUCUUAAGUCGGAUGUGAAAUCCCUGAGCUUAACUUAGGAAUUGGAUUCGAUACUGGGAAGCUAGAGUAUGGGAGAGGAUGGUAGAAUUCCAGGUGUAGCGGUGAAAUGCGUAGAGAUCUGGAGGAAUACCGAUGGCGAAGGCAGCCAUCUGGCCUAAUACUGACGCUGAGGUACGAAAGCAUGGGGAGCAAACAGG
rnacentral:rRNA from 1 species